UACGUAGGGUCCGAGCGUUGUCCGGAAUUACUGGGCGUAAAGAGCUCGUAGGUGGUUUGUCGCGUUGUUCGUGAAAACUCACAGCUCAACUGUGGGCGUGCGGGCGAUACGGGCAGACUAGAGUACUGCAGGGGAGACUGGAAUUCCUGGUGUAGCGGUGGAAUGCGCAGAUAUCAGGAGGAACACCGGUGGCGAAGGCGGGUCUCUGGGCAGUAACUGACGCUGAGGAGCGAAAGCUAGGGGAGCAAACAGG
rnacentral:rRNA from 1 species